GAUGAACGCUGGCGGCGUGCCUAAUACAUGCAAGUCGAGCGAAUGGAUUAAGAGCUUGCUCUUAUGAAGUUAGCGGCGGACGGGUGAGUAACACGUGGGUAACCUGCCCAUAAGACUGGGAUAACUCCGGGAAACCGGGGCUAAUACCGGAUAACAUUUUGAACCGCAUGGUUCGAAAUUGAAAAGCGGCUUCGGCUGUCACUGCUGGAUGGACCCGCGUCGCAUUAGCUAGUUGGUGAGGUAACGGCUCACCAAGGCAACGAUGCGUAGCCGACCUGAGAGGGUGAUCGGCCUCACUGGGACUGAGACACGGCCCAGACUCCUACGGGAGGCAGCAGUAGGGAAUCUUCCGCAAUGGACGAAAGUCUGACGGAGCAACGCCGCGUGAGUGAUGAAGGCUUUCGGGUCGUAAAACUCUGUUGUUAGGGAAGAACAAGUGCUAGUUGAAUAAGCUGGCACCUUGACGGUACCUAACCAGAAAGCCACGGCUAACUACGUGCCAGCAGCCGCCGUAA
rnacentral:rRNA from 1 species